rnacentral:rRNA from 1 species
AACGAACGCUGGCGGCAGGCCUAACACAUGCAAGUCGAACGCCCUAGCAAUAGGGAGUGGCAGACGGGUGAGUAACACGUGGGAACCUUGCCUAUAGUACGGAAUAUCCCAGAGAAACUUGGAGUAAUACCGUAUACGCCCGAGAGGGGAAAGAUGUAUCGCUAUAGGAUGGGCCCGCGGCGGAUUAGCUAGUUGGUGAGGUAAUGGCUCACCAAGGCAACGAUCCGUAGCUGGUUUUAGAGAAUGACCAGCCACACUGGGACUGAGACCCGGCCCUGACUCGUACGGGAGGAAGCAUUAGGGAAUCUUGGACAAUGGGCGCAAGCCUGAUGCAGCCAUGACGGGUGAGUGAUGAAGGCCUUAGGUUUGUAAAGCUCUUUUGGCGGGGACGAUAAUGCCGGUACCCGCAGAAUAAGUCCCGGCUAACUUCGUGCCAGCCGCCGCCGUAACAC